ACAGAGGCGGCAAGCGUUGUUCGGAAUUAUUGGGCGUAAAGAGCAUGUAGGCGGCUAUGUAAGUCGGUUGUGAAAGCCUUCCGCUUAACGGAAGAAUGGCGGUCGAAACUGCAUGGCUUGAGUGCGGGAGGGGAGAGUGGAACUUCUGGUGGAGCGGUGAAAUGCGUAGAUAUCAGAAGGAACGUCGGCGGCGAAGGCGACACGCUGGGCCUGGCCUGACGCUCAGACGCGAAAGCAUGGGAAGCGAACGG
rnacentral:rRNA from 1 species